rnacentral:rRNA from 1 species
UACGUAGGGGGCAAGCGUUGUCCGGAAUCAUUGGGCGUAAAGCGCGUGUAGGCGGCCCGAUAAGUCCGCUGUGAAAGUCCAGGGCUCAACCCUGGGAUGCCGGUGGAUACUGUCGGGCUCGAGUCCGGAAGAGGAGUGUGGAAUUCCUGGUGUAGCGGUGAAAUGCGCAGAUAUCAGGAGGAACACCAAUGGCGAAGGCAGCACUCUGGG